rnacentral:lncRNA from 1 species
GAAGUCUGAGGAAGUCAAGAGCUGAAUCCCUGGUGCAUACUCUCUGGCAGAGGCUGGAGACACGCGUUAUGCAGGGGAGCAAACCUGGGCUCUAGCUGGGUGCAGCCCAUGCAGCAAUGAUUCGUGCUUGGCAGAAGGUUUACCCGCAUGCACCUCACUUAAAGAAGUUUGCACCACACUGCGUGUCUGGGCCCUCGGGCUUGCUGGGUGUAGCAUGGCAGCCCAGGACUAGUGGGUCCCCAUUCCCAGGAGGAUGGAAGAAAAGAGUUUCCAGGCCCCUCCAAGUUUAGGAAAGAGGAGGUGAUGGCAUCCAAGCUGAGCUGGAGGAAGCUGCUGAUCCUCUUUGACUUCACGUCUCUGGACCUCUCGGGCUUGGGCAUGGAAGCCAGGCACCCUCCCAGGGGAGCCUUGAACUGGAUAUUGGGGUUCAGCUUCCUUUUCUUCUAAAUCCAUGGGCACCCUCUCCUCUAGAGUCACACUGGCUGCUCUCAGCACUGCCGGGGCUUGGUGGCUUGGUUGGAAUCGCUUUUUUUACUGAGAGGAGCCUGCGGAUGUUCCUGUACCUGCCGGUGUAGGCAGGACUUUGCCUCUGGUUGGGUUUUCCUGGAUUCCAGGGAAUGAGGGGGUGGGCGGAGGUUCCUCGGGAGUGACAGGCCCUAGGCCUUGGUUCUGAGGUCAUUGCUCUACUCUGGGUGCAGUCCAGCCCCGAGGACGAGCCUGUGACUGUCAGAGCUAUCAGAGCUGUUUGGGGGUGGGGGGAUGGGUUCAGGAUGCCAAGUCUGUGCCAAAAUAAAUCCGCAUCUGCUCACAGGUUC